rnacentral:rRNA from 1 species
AUUGAACGCUGGCGGCAGGCCUAACACAUGCAAGUCGAGCGGAUGAGGGAAGCUUGCUUCCUGAUUUAGCGGCGGACGGGUGAGUAAUGCCUAGGAAUCUGCCUGUUAGUGGGGGAUAACGUUCCGAAAGGAACGCUAAUACCGCAUACGUCCUACGGGAGAAAGUGGGGGAUCUUCGGACCUCACGCUAACAGAUGAGCCUAGGUCGGAUUAGCUAGUAGGUGAGGUAAUGGCUCACCUAGGCUACGAUCCGUAACUGGUCUGAGAGGAUGAUCAGUCACACUGGAACUGAGACACGGUCCAGACUCCUACGGGAGGCAGCAGUGGGGAAUAUUGGACAAUGGGCGAAAGCCUGAUUCAGCCAUGCCGCGUGUGUGAAGAAGGUCUUCGGAUUGUAAAGCACUUUAAGUUGGGAGGAAGGGCAGUAAGUUAAUACCUUGCUGUUUUGACGUUACCGACAGAAUAAGCACCGGCUAACUUCGUGCCAGCCGCCGCGGUAA